AUGGCGAGAUUCGCACCUAAAUCAAACCCCAGCCUCCAGUCCGCCGCCGCCGCCCACCCCCGUCACCGGAGUUCCGCCCGCCGCCUCCGCUCAUCGCCGAAGGCCGCCCGCGGCGCCCGCAUUUGCCUCACCGCCGUGUGGCAGGCCAUUGACAUGGAGGCGAUUUUCGCGAGCACUAAUCGCCUUCUCCAGGUAGCCACGGACUCCCAUGCGCAGCCCAGCGCUCUGGGACGCCUCCGACGGGUGCUGGAUGGCGCCGCGGCGCGUUGCAUCUCUGACGCCACCUUCACCGACUGGCUCAAAGUGACGUUGGACGACUUAAUUGUCCACGUUGACAAACUUGACAACUUCACAAGGACGGUUGACAACAUCACUGCUCGCCUCCGGUCCACGUGCCACCCUAAAGGCAGCCACCGCGGCGUCUCCCCAGCUGGCCAACUCGCCGGCCUCCAUGGAAAUGAUCUCUUUCGCACACUGAUGACCCUGCAACUGCCUGAGGCUGCGCCUGCGGAGUUCUUCCUGGAGGCCGCACUCGCUGCGCAGAGCCUCAUCAUGCAUGACCAGCUCGACCUUUUCAUCGAACUCAGUGAGAAGGUCAUCUUGGAGGGUGACACUAUGGCGGUCAACGAGUACAACCUCAUGGCCUUAAUGGACCACAGGAAAACUUUGGUGAAGUUCAUUCACGAGCACAUUAAACUCUCCUACGCGAAGUAA
rnacentral:rRNA from 1 species